rnacentral:rRNA from 1 species
UUAAGCGACUAAGCGUACACGGUGGAUGCCCUGGCAGUCAGAGGCGAUGAAGGACGUGCUAAUCUGCGAUAAGCGUCGGUAAGGUGAUAUGAACCGUUAUAACCGGCGAUUUCCGAAUGGGGAAACCCAGUGUGAUUCGUCACACUAUCAUUAACUGAAUCCAUAGGUUAAUGAGGCGAACCGGGGGAACUGAAACAUCUAAGUACCCCGAGGAAAAGAAAUCAACCGAGAUUCCCCCAGUAGCGGCGAGCGAACGGGGAGCAGCCCAGAGCCUGAAUCAGUGUGUGUGUUAGUGGAAGCGUCUGGAAAGGCGCGCGAUACAGGGUGACAGCCCCGUACACAAAAAUGCACAUGCUGUGAGCUCGAUGAGUAGGGCGGGACACGUGGUAUCCUGUCUGAAUAUGGGGGGACCAUCCUCCAAGGCUAAAUACUCCUGACUGACCGAUAGUGAACCAGUACCGUGAGGGAAAGGCGAAAAGAACCCCGGCGAGGGGAGUGAAAAAGAACCUGAAACCGUGUACGUACAAGCAGUGGGAGCACGCUUAGGCGUGUGACUGCGUACCUUUUGUAUAAUGGGUCAGCGACUUAUAUUCUGUAGCAAGGUUAACCGAAUAGGGGAGCCGAAGGGAAACCGAGUCUUAACUGGGCGUUAAGUUGCAGGGUAUAGACCCGAAACCCGGUGAUCUAGCCAUGGGCAGGUUGAAGGUUGGGUAACACUAACUGGAGGACCGAACCGACUAAUGUUGAAAAAUUAGCGGAUGACUUGUGGCUGGGGGUGAAAGGCCAAUCAAACCGGGAGAUAGCUGGUUCUCCCCGAAAGCUAUUUAGGUAGCGCCUCGUGAAUUCAUCUCCGGGGGUAGAGCACUGUUUCGGCAAGGGGGUCAUCCCGACUUACCAACCCGAUGCAAACUGCGAAUACCGGAGAAUGUUAUCACGGGAGACACACGGCGGGUGCUAACGUCCGUCGUGAAGAGGGAAACAACCCAGACCGCCAGCUAAGGUCCCAAAGUCAUGGUUAAGUGGGAAACGAUGUGGGAAGGCCCAGACAGCCAGGAUGUUGGCUUAGAAGCAGCCAUCAUUUAAAGAAAGCGUAAUAGCUCACUGGUCGAGUCGGCCUGCGCGGAAGAUGUAACGGGGCUAAACCAUGCACCGAAGCUGCGGCAGCGACGCUUAUGCGUUGUUGGGUAGGGGAGCGUUCUGUAAGCCUGCGAAGGUGUGCUGUGAGGCAUGCUGGAGGUAUCAGAAGUGCGAAUGCUGACAUAAGUAACGAUAAAGCGGGUGAAAAGCCCGCUCGCCGGAAGACCAAGGGUUCCUGUCCAACGUUAAUCGGGGCAGGGUGAGUCGACCCCUAAGGCGAGGCCGAAAGGCGUAGUCGAUGGGAAACAGGUUAAUAUUCCUGUACUUGGUGUUACUGCGAAGGGGGGACGGAGAAGGCUAUGUUGGCCGGGCGACGGUUGUCCCGGUUUAAGCGUGUAGGCUGGUUUUCCAGGCAAAUCCGGAAAAUCAAGGCUGAGGCGUGAUGACGAGGCACUACGGUGCUGAAGCAACAAAUGCCCUGCUUCCAGGAAAAGCCUCUAAGCAUCAGGUAACAUCAAAUCGUACCCCAAACCGACACAGGUGGUCAGGUAGAGAAUACCAAGGCGCUUGAGAGAACUCGGGUGAAGGAACUAGGCAAAAUGGUGCCGUAACUUCGGGAGAAGGCACGCUGAUAUGUAGGUGAAGUCCCUCGCGGAUGGAGCUGAAAUCAGUCGAAGAUACCAGCUGGCUGCAACUGUUUAUUAAAAACACAGCACUGUGCAAACACGAAAGUGGACGUAUACGGUGUGACGCCUGCCCGGUGCCGGAAGGUUAAUUGAUGGGGUUAGCGCAAGCGAAGCUCUUGAUCGAAGCCCCGGUAAACGGCGGCCGUAACUAUAACGGUCCUAAGGUAGCGAAAUUCCUUGUCGGGUAAGUUCCGACCUGCACGAAUGGCGUAAUGAUGGCCAGGCUGUCUCCACCCGAGACUCAGUGAAAUUGAACUCGCUGUGAAGAUGCAGUGUACCCGCGGCAAGACGGAAAGACCCCGUGAACCUUUACUAUAGCUUGACACUGAACAUUGAGCCUUGAUGUGUAGGAUAGGUGGGAGGCUUUGAAGUGUGGACGCCAGUCUGCAUGGAGCCGACCUUGAAAUACCACCCUUUAAUGUUUGAUGUUCUAACGUGGACCCGUAAUCCGGGUUGCGGACAGUGUCUGGUGGGUAGUUUGACUGGGGCGGUCUCCUCCUAAAGAGUAACGGAGGAGCACGAAGGUUGGCUAAUCCUGGUCGGACAUCAGGAGGUUAGUGCAAUGGCAUAAGCCAGCUUGACUGCGAGCGUGACGGCGCGAGCAGGUGCGAAAGCAGGUCAUAGUGAUCCGGUGGUUCUGAAUGGAAGGGCCAUCGCUCAACGGAUAAAAGGUACUCCGGGGAUAACAGGCUGAUACCGCCCAAGAGUUCAUAUCGACGGCGGUGUUUGGCACCUCGAUGUCGGCUCAUCACAUCCUGGGGCUGAAGUAGGUCCCAAGGGUAUGGCUGUUCGCCAUUUAAAGUGGUACGCGAGCUGGGUUUAGAACGUCGUGAGACAGUUCGGUCCCUAUCUGCCGUGGGCGCUGGAGAACUGAGGGGGGCUGCUCCUAGUACGAGAGGACCGGAGUGGACGCAUCACUGGUGUUCGGGUUGUCAUGCCAAUGGCACUGCCCGGUAGCUAAAUGCGGAAGAGAUAAGUGCUGAAAGCAUCUAAGCACGAAACUUGCCCCGAGAUGAGUUCUCCCUGACCCUUUAAGGGUCCUGAAGGAACGUUGAAGACGACGACGUUGAUAGGCCGGGUGUGUAAGCGCAGCGAUGCGUUGAGCUAACCGGUACUAAUGAACCGUGAGGCUUAACCUU